GAUGAACGCUGGCGGCGUGCCUAAUACAUGCAAGUCGAGCGAACGGACGAGAAGCUUGCUUCUCUGAUGUUAGCGGCGGACGGGUGAGUAACACGUGGAUAACCUACCUAUAAGACUGGGAUAACUUCGGGAAACCGGAGCUAAUACCGGAUAAUAUUUUGAACCGCAUGGUUCAAAAGUAAAAGACGGUCUUGCUGUCACUUAUAGAUGGAUCCGCGCUGCAUUAGCUAGUUGGUAAGGUAACGGCUUACCAAGGCAACGAUGCAUAGCCGACCUGAGAGGGUGAUCGGCCACACUGGAACUGAGACACGGUCCAGACUCCUACGGGAGGCAGCAGUAGGGAAUGUUCCGCAAUGGGCGAAAGCCUGACGGAGCAACGCCGCGUGAGUGAUGAAGGUCUUCGGAUCGUAAAACUCUGUUAUUAGGGAAGAACAUAUGUGUAAGUAACUGUGCACAUCUUGACGGUACCUAAUCAGAAAGCCACGGCUAACUACGUG
rnacentral:rRNA from 1 species